rnacentral:rRNA from 1 species
GAUGAACGCUGGCGGCGUGCUUAACACAUGCAAGUCGAACGAGAAGUGAAGACGGAAACCUUCGGGCGGAAGGCUUUAUUUCGAGUGGCGGACGGGUGAGUAACGCGUGGGUAACCUGCCUCAUACAGGGGGAUAACAGUUGGAAACGACUGUUAAUACCGCAUAAGACCACAGCACCGCAUGGUGCGGGGGUAAAAACUCCGGUGGUAUGAGAUGGACCCGCGUUCGAUUAGCCAGUUGGCGGGGUAACGGCCCACCAAAGCGACGAUCGAUAGCCGAUCUGAGAGAAUGACCGGCCACAUUGGGACUGAGACACGGCCCAAACUCCUACGGGAGGCAGCAGUGGGGAAUAUUGCACAAUGGGGGAAACCCUGAUGCAGCGACGCCGCGUGAGUGAAGAAGUAUUUCGGUAUGUAAAGCUCUAUCAGCAGGGAAGAAAAUGACGGUACCUGAGUAAGAAGCCCCGGCUAACUACGUG